CCUACGGGAGGCAGCAGUGAGGAAUAUUGGUCAAUGGUCGGGAGACUGAACCAGCCAAGCCGCGUGAGGGAUGAAGGUACAGAGUAUCGUAAACCUCUUUUGUCCGGGUACAAAGGCGGGGACGCGUCCCCGGAUGAGUGUACCUGAAGAAAAAGCAUCGGCUAACUCCGUGCCAGCAGCCGCGGUAAUACGGUGGAUGCGAGCGUUAUCCGGAUUUAUUGGUUUUAAAGGGUGCGCAGGCGGUCUGUUAAGUCAGCGGUCAAAGCCCGGGGCUCAACCCCGGCCCGCCGUUGAGACUGGCAGUCGCGAGUUGGAGAGAAGUAUGCGGAAUGCGCGGUGUAGCGGUGAAAGGCAUAGAGAUCGCGCAGAACUCCGAUUGCGAAGGCAGCAUGCCGGCUCCACACUGACGCUGAGGCACGAAAGCGUGGGUAUCGAACAGGAUUAGAUACCCGUGUAGUC
rnacentral:rRNA from 1 species